UCCAGAGGUCUCAAGCGUUGUUCGGAUUCAUUGGGCGUAAAGGGUGCGUAGGCGGCGCGGUAAGUCGGGUGUGAAAUCUCGGAGCUUAACUCCGAAACUGCAUUCGAUACUGCCGUGCUUGAGGACUGGAGAGGAGACUGGAAUUUACGGUGUAGCGGUGAAAUGCGUAGAUAUCGUAAGGAAGACCAGUGGCGAAGGCGGGUCUCUGGACAGUAACUGACGCUGAGGAGCGAAAGCGUGGGGAGCGAACAGG
rnacentral:rRNA from 1 species